UUUUUCCAGGUAACCCGGUGGUGUCCAUUCUGGAUGCCAUAUUUACGGCAUCGCCCCAAAUAUCGUACAAGGGUUUUUGAGCUCCCACAACACCGGCUGUCACUUCUCCGUGAGAAAUUCCGAUCCUCAAUCUGAAAGAUCACGAACAUGUUCGAAACUUUACUAGACUCCUGCAUCGUUCGCUUUCGCGAGAUGACACAAGGUGCAUUUUGGACCAUUAUUUACCGAGAUCAAUGCAGCUUUUGGCGUGCUGGGAAUUCGGCGUGGGUACACCGCUCACGCAGUAGUAACAGUCACCCAAAAAUUUGAUUCUCAACACGUUGUGCCUCUCCGAUGCUUCGUCGAAGCUCCCGAACAGAUCAUUCAGGGUCUCCACGAGUUUUCGUAUCGGUAACGUUACGACGUAAAAAUAAGAGAGUAAACCACAGUGUCCACAGAGUUAAAAUGCGAAAGGCAAGAAGAAUUCGCAAUGUACUUCUAACAACCGCGAGCUUACGUGCCUAGCAUCACAAAUUCGUUUCUUUUAUUCUCCGUACAAAACACAUGUUUAGAUUUUUGACGUGUAUUUUUUAUUAAAUUUCGUUUUAAUUAA